AUGUUUGCAACUGCAACCCAUAUUCCAAUGACGGCCACAACCGAGACAACAUGCAUCUGCGGGGAGAAUCACCACGACGGACUGCAUCUGCCCAGACGAUUGUUGCAACGGCCACGACAAAGUGCAUCUCUCAAUUCCGGGAUCAGCAUGCUGGAUGAAUCCUCCUUGCCUGUUAAGUUGCAACGGUGCAACCAAACACCAUGGAGGCUUAGGGACGGUGAAUCUGCAUCGACAGUGAUGGAUGGAAAUUGCUCGCCCUCCUUCCUCCAUAAACCACGGGGACCUUGUAUAGUUGUAUUAGCCUCCCCAUCUAUCCGUCAGGAAGCCCUGACUUUCCCUGCUAUUGCUGUCGAAAAUGCUACCCUUGCAGAACAUGACCUGAACUUAAGUAUGGCACAUGGAGCUUCAGUUCUGUUACUUGUAGAUGAAGGUGCUUACUGA
rnacentral:rRNA from 1 species